rnacentral:rRNA from 1 species
UACGAAGGGGGCUAGCGUUGUUCGGAAUCACUGGGCGUAAAGCGCACGUAGGCGGAUCUUUAAGUCAGGGGUGAAAUCCUGGAGCUCAACUCCAGAACUGCCUUUGAUACUGAGGGUCUCGAGUCCGGGAGAGGUGAGUGGAACUGCGAGUGUAGAGGUGAAAUUCGUAGAUAUUCGCAAGAACACCAGUGGCGAAGGCGGCUCACUGGCCCGAUACUGACGCUGAGGCACGAAAGCGUGGGGAGCAAACAGG